CAGGCCCUGAGUUCAAGCCCCCAGGACUGGCAAAAGAAAAAAAAAAAAAAGUGGGGGGGGGUCUACUAAGCUCAGGACUGUAAUCCUAGCUACUCAGGAGGUUGAGAUCUGAGGAUUGCAGAUCAAAGCACACCUGAGUAGGAAAAGUCAGACUCUUAUCUCCGAUUAACCACAAAAAGCCAGAAGUAGAGCUCUGGCUCAAGUAGUAGAGUACUAGCCUUGAGCAAAACUAUCUCAGGGAAAAAAGAAAUAUCUCAGGGACAGCACCUGGGCUCUGAGUUCAAGUCCCAGGACCAGCACAAUAAAGGGGGGAAAUGGUAUAUCUUCCUUUGCAGACGUCCAGGUAGUUUGUCCAUCUGCAACUUGUUAGCAGGUUCCUACCAUAGGUCAUCUCAAUCAGGGCUAGAAUCACACAUACGUCCCUCACACAGCUGAACAUACACUUGGGCUUUGUUUAGGAAUAGUGUAGAAAUCAAUUAUAUGGGGACUAAAUUAUCAAGAUUGCCUGAUGAGCAAGGAUGGAAAAACCUUUUAGCAGCUAGUAGUGGUGUGCUCUCACUGGCCUAGCCCCACCCCGGGGAGAAAUCCUGCCGGGAGCUAUGAAGAUUUAGCCCUUAGCAAGCAACCCUUCCUAAAUAAAUACGACAGCCGUUGGUCAGGUUCCCUCAGUGUGCCUACUUCACCAGCGAGAAAGAAACUCAGAUGGGUGGAAUCCCAGGGGUACACAGACAGUAACUGCCUCACACUGAAAGCAAUCCACCUGUGCCUUUCUCCCUUUGCCACACUUUACAAAGGAGGCAAGCAGGGCUGAAAAACAAGAUUUGAGCAAGACUUGCCCAGCCAUUGCAUUAGAGCUAACAUUCGAAAGCUGGGUGAUGGAGGGUGUUUCACAAGUGACUCUCAGAUC